AAACUCCCUAAACCCACUGUGAACCUUACCUAGGCCGGCCCUAAAAAAGCCGGCCGCCCCGUUGCCUCGGCGUCUUGCUUAGCCGCGAGACGCCAGAGGAUCACCAAACUCUUGUUUUUUUUAUAGUAUCUCUGAGGCCUAACGGCAAUCUUAUAACAACUUUCAACAACGGAUCUCUUGGCUCUGGCAUCGAUGAAGAACGCAGCGAAAUGCGAUAAGUAUUGUGAAUUGCAGAAUCCAGUGAAUCAUCGAAUCUUUGAACGCACAUUGCGCCCGCCGGCAUUCCGGCGGGCAUGCCUGUUCGAGCGUCAUUUCAACCCUCAAGUCCUUUUGGAUUUGGUGAUGAGGCGUCUCUUCUUACGGAAGAGAGGCCUUCAAAUUUAUAGGCGGGUCUUUAUAGGACUCUCAGCGCAGUAAACUUGCUAUCGCUGGGUUAGACACUGAAAGAUUUUCCAGCCUUUAAACCUACCCUACAAAAACAAAGGUUGACCUCGGAUCAGGUAGGAAUACCCGCUGAACUUAAGCAUAUCAAUAAGCGGAGGA
rnacentral:rRNA from 1 species